CUUAAUAUUUAAAAAAUAAAUAUGAUGGACUGGUCCAUAAAUCCUAUCUCAACUGACAGAAAUGUCGAAAUUGAUAGUGUCAGACGCCAUGAUUGGGGUUCGAAUCACGAUUACUCUACUUUGUGUGUGUGAGUUUUCAAUGACUUUGUCAUUUCGUCUAUCAACAAAAAAAAUAAAAUAUGAUGGACUUUGAGGUGUUUGUCUUUCUAGUAAGGUUUAAAUAUCAUUUCUGUCCUUGUAUGUUCAUGAAUUUUUUGUUUUAGUCCUUAUAUGUUUUUUUUUGUUGCAAAUACAUCCCUAAAUGUGCAAAUUUUGUUGGUUUUAGUCCUUCCUGGCUGCGUUUGUAGCUAAUUGGUAGCUAAUUCACAUUCAUUUUUUAACAAGAAGGACUAUGGAUGACAAGAAAAUCCAAAUCCAAUAGACCGACCUACAGUCGGUUUUGGGCCAGGGCUACCAGGCCUCCAGCCCAGGGUCACAAAAAAUAUAUUUUGGUAAUAGGUAGUAAUAUUGGGGGGUAUAAGUAGCAACAAUAAUGACCCAGCAAAGCAUAAUUAGACCAACAAAAAAAAAAAACUCAAGGCAAGGCUGGCAGCACCGUCUUUCUAUUUUGCGUCUUUCACCCUUCACCGACUUGAUCAGCGUCUUUCUCAUCCUCCCUUCACCGAAUCACCGUGGAAUUUUUUCGUCACCGCACCGUCCCGCGCUGCUGAUACUCCGGUGACAACCGCAGCCACCGCUCUUAACAAAGUGAUAUUCUCCUCUCUCUCAAUC
rnacentral:lncRNA from 1 species